rnacentral:rRNA from 1 species
AACGCGAAGAACCUUACCUGGGCUCGAAAUGUAGUCGACCGUCUCAGAGAUGAGGCUUUCCCGCAAGGGACGGCUGCAUAGGUGCUGCAUGGCUGUCGUCAGCUCGUGUCGUGAGAUGUUGGGUUAAGUCCCGCAACGAGCGCAACCCUCACCGUUAGUUGCUCACCCGCAAGGGAAGCACCCUAACGGAACUGCCUCAGAUAAUGGGGAGGAAGGUGGGGAUGACGUCAAGUCCUCAUGGCCUUUAUGUCCAGGGCUACACACGUGCUACAAUGGCCGGUACAAAGCGUCGCGAACCCGCGAGGGGGAGCCAAUCGCAAAAAGCCGGUCUCAGUUCGGAUUGCAGGCUGCAACUCGCCUGCAUGAAGCUGGAAUCGCUAGUAAUCGCGUAUCAGAACGACGCGGUGAAUACGUUCCCGGGCCUUGUACACACCGUAGUAC